rnacentral:rRNA from 1 species
UACGAAGGGGGCUAGCGUUGUUCGGAAUUACUGGGCGUAAAGCGUAUGCAGGCGGAUCGUUAAGUCGGGGGUGAAAUCCCGAGGCUCAACCUCGGAACUGCCUUCGAUACUGGCGAUCUUGAGUCCGGGAGAGGUGAGUGGAACUGCGAGUGUAGAGGUGAAAUUCGUAGAUAUUCGCAAGAACACCAGUGGCGAAGGCGGCUCACUGGCCCGGUACUGACGCUGAGGCACGAAAGCGUGGGGAGCAAACGGGG